rnacentral:rRNA from 1 species
UACGGAGGACCCGAGCGUUAUCCGGAUUUAUUGGGUUUAAAGGGUGCGUAGGCGGCUCGGUAAGUUAGAGGUGAAAUCUCGACGCUCAACGUCGAAACUGCCUCUGAUACUGUCGAGCUAGAGUAUAGUUGCGGAAGGCGGAAUGAGUAGUGUAGCGGUGAAAUGCUUAGAUAUUACUCAGAACACCGAUUGCGAAGGCAGCUUUCCAAGCUAUCACUGACGCUGAGGCACGAAAGCGUGGGGAGCGAACAGG